AGGAAUAUGCUAAGAGUGAAGAAGAGGGGUGUGAAACUGUGACAAAGGAAGGCGACGUUAACACUGCGGAUAACCACUUAGCAUCAUCCUGCAUGGAUCUGCUAAGCACCACCACCCAGCACUUGAAUGAAACAAGAAAGACCCCGCCCUCAGCCAUGAAGUAUGAAAGCAGCAGCAGCAGCAACAGCAAGAAACUUGUUGUGUUUAUAGGUGCCUCCUACAACACAUUUGUGGUACUUGGAUUUCCGUUCGCUAUUGGCGCCCUCUACACAGAGAUACUGGAUACAUUUAAUUCGUCGAGAAGAGAGACAUCUCUGGUGCCAGCGUUUUGCGUAGGAUGCACGUUUGGCGUUGGUUUCCUGAGUGGGCUGUUCAUCAAGAGAAGUGGAAUGAAGACCGUGCUGACUGCGGGAGGAUUUGUCAGCUCAUUAGGGUUAUUCUCAAGCUGGUUUGCUCAGUCGGUUGUGCAUCUGAUAGUUACUGUUGGGGUGUUAAAUGGAAUUGGAAACAGCUUCAUAUUCAUGUCCACCACAACACUGGUUGCAGAUACGUUCAACAGUCGCGGACGUCGAAGUCUUGCACUGGCAGGAAUUAUGUUUAGUGGUGGAAUCGGAACUAUUCUAUUCUCAUACAUACUCACUGCACUCAACAGUGUGUACGGAUGGCGAGGAACGUUUCUCUUUAUCAGUUGCUUUUAUCUUCAAAUCAUCGUUUCAGCAUCAGUCACAACAUCCAGUGCUGGGAAUCUCCAAUUCUUCAGAAGGCAGCAGCCUAAAGAUGACAAAACAGGAAAGGACUAUAAACCCAAGUGGAAGCAACUCUUGAAGCCUGUUUUCAUAUCCUUCGUUAUAACAUCCUGUUUAUCCUUUGGAACAGGAAACAACACCAGUGGUAUUUUAUCAGAUUUGGCUAAAAGUAGAUGAUUCUCGGAGGAAAGAGGACUUGCACUCAUUCUUUACUUCAACUCGGUCAACACAAUGUCUCGACUGUUAAGUGGCAUUCUGAAGACGAUACCUGGACUCCACAGUAUCGUCAUAUUCACAAUGGCCGCGGCUCUUCUUGGAGUUUCAUUGAUAUUUCUUGGAGCCUCUUCCGACUGGGUGCCGUUAGCAGUGUUGACAUCGACAGCUGGUGCUGGUAUGGGAGGGAUGCAAGCCAUGCUUCCUGUCGUGUCAGUGGAGGUUCUUGCGCUGGAGAUGCUACCUAUCGGUCUCGGCCUCUGUGGGAUGAUGAAUGGUGCUGUCACUCCAAUUUUCGGGACAGUUAUGGGUUUGAUGUUUGAUAACAGCGGAUCGUAUGAAGUCCCGUUCUAUGUCAGUGGGAGCAUUGCCGCUGGAGCAGCUGCGUUGACGAUGAUUGUGUUUACAAUAUUGGAAUGUCGGUGUAACAAACAGCGUAGUCAUUCUGUGAUAAGACUGUAGUAGCAGAAAUUCUUUGGCAAUUGACAAUGAAAGUUUUAAGUACACCUGAACCCCGUUGUCUCGAACUCGGAAGUGUCGAAUUCCCGGUUGUGUCGGUCCCGGUUAGGUAAAGUAUUAAAUGGUCGAGUCGGAUGAGUCGAACCCCGGAUAAAUCGAACUAGUUCUGGGGCGGUCGGCUAGCCUAGUGGUUAAAGCGUUGGCUCGUCACGCAGAAGAUCCGGGUUCGAUUCCCGACAUGUGUGAAGCCCAUUUCUGGUGUCCCCCGCCGUGAUAUUGCUGGAAUAAUGCUAAAAGCGGCGUAAAACCAUACUCACUCACCCACUCGAACUGGUUCUCUAGUCCUCCAGGAGUUUGUGACAACAUGAUUCGACUGUAAUUUAUAACUCUUCCUUUAAAACUGACGUUUGUGCCAACUAGUGAGGACCAGAUGUUGCAAUGUGACCUGGCUGAUUGUGUCAUCGUUGCUCAUGCUGGUAACUACUUAUGUAUACUGAUGAACUUUCAAAUCCCUGACAAAACCAUUUAAAACGUCCUUACUUUCUCUUGAUGAUGAAUUGCUCCAAUGCAUUGACGUUUGAAAACCUGUAGGCAUUGCUAGAUCUCCCGCAGCUAUGUAGGCUCAUACUUUACCUUGGCGCCUAGAAAAGUGCAGCUUUGUUUUCGAAAUGUAUGGAUAAACUUUAAACUAAAAAAUUACCACGAUUGACGAAACAUUCCAUGCAUGUGACUGCAUGUGGCCAUAGUUAUAGAUAUAAUCAAGUAUUAUCACUCUUCUUGGCUGAUGAAGAAAAUGAAAGAAAAGGUAUUAUACUUUGACAAAAAAGAGGUCAUUAACACUCGAGUGAAUAAGGUAGGUCUGUGAGGUGUGCCUCCUUUAAAGACCACCACUUGCAUCCAGUGAAUAAAUCACGGUUUGUAUAAACGUUUCGUUUGAUGUAAUGCCAGGAAC
rnacentral:misc_RNA from 1 species